GGCGGCGUAGCUCAGUUGGCUAGAGCAUGCGGUUCAUACCCGCAGUGUCCGGAGUUCAAAUCUCUGCGCCGCCACCA
rnacentral:tRNA from 1 species